rnacentral:rRNA from 1 species
AUUGAACGCUGGCGGCAUGCUUUACACAUGCAAGUCGAACGGUAACAGGCCUUCGGGUGCUGACGAGUGGCGAACGGGUGCGUAAUGCAUCGGAACGUGCCCAGAGGUGGGGGAUAACGCAGCGAAAGCUGUGCUAAUACCGCAUGUGAUCUGAGGAUGAAAGCGGGGGACCAGGCAGCAAUGUUUGGCCUCGCGCCUUUGGAGCGGCCGAUGUCCGAUUAGGUAGUUGGUGGGGUAAAGGCCUACCAAGCCGACGAUCUGUAGCUGGUCUGAGAGGACGACCAGCAACACUGGGACUGAGACACGGCCCAGACUCCUACGGGAGGCAGCAGUGGGGAAUUUUGGACAAUGGGCGCAAGCCUGAUCCAGCAAUGCCGCGUGCGGGAAGAAGGCCUUCGGGUUGUAAACCGCUUUUGUACGGAACGAAAAGGCUCUGGCUAAUACCUGGGGCUGAUGACGGUACCGUAAGAAUAAGCACCGGCUAACUACGUG